UACAGAGGUCUCAAGCGUUGUUCGGAUUCAUUGGGCGUAAAGGGUGCGUAGGCGGCGCGGUAAGUCGGGUGUGAAAUCUCGGAGCUUAACUCCGAAACUGCAUUCGAUACUGCCGUGCUUGAGGACUGGAGAGGAGACUGGAAUUUACGGUGUAGCGGUGAAAUGCGUAGAUAUCGUAAGGAAGACCAGUGGCGAAGGCGGGUCUCUGGGCCGAUACUGACGCUGAGGAGCGAAAGCAUGGGUAGCGAACAGG
rnacentral:rRNA from 1 species